GGGCCCGCACAAGCGGUGGAGCAUGUGGUUUAAUUCGAUGCAACGCGAAGAACCUUACCAGGCCUUGACAUCCUUGGAACUUUCUAGAGAUAGAUUGGUGCCUUCGGGAGCCAAGUGACAGGUGCUGCAUGGCUGUCGUCAGCUCGUGUCGUGAGAUGUUGGGUUAAGUCCCGCAACGAGCGCAACCCUUGUCCUUAGUUACCAGCACUUCGGGUGGGAACUCUAAGGAUACUGCCAGUGACAAACUGGAGGAAGGCGGGGACGACGUCAAGUCAUCAUGGCCCUUACGACCAGGGCUACACACGUGCUACAAUGCUACGGACAAAGGGCAGCAAGUUCGCGAGGACAAGCAAAUCCCAUAAACCGUGGCUCAGUUCAGAUCGUAGGCUGCAACUCGCCUACGUGAAGGCGGAAUCGCUAGUAAUCG
rnacentral:rRNA from 1 species